rnacentral:rRNA from 1 species
GAUGAACGCUGGCGGCGUGCCUAAUACAUGCAAGUCGAGCGAACAGACGAGGAGCUUGCUCCUCUGACGUUAGCGGCGGACGGGUGAGUAACACGUGGAUAACCUACCUAUAAGACUGGGAUAACUUCGGGAAACCGGAGCUAAUACCGGAUAAUAUAUUGAACCGCAUGGUUCAAUAGUGAAAGACGGUUUUGCUGUCACUUAUAGAUGGAUCCGCGCCGCAUUCGCUAGUUGGUAAGGUAACGGCUUACCAAGGCAACGAUGCGUAGCCGACCUGAGAGGGUGAUCGGCCACACUGGAACUGAGACACGGUCCAGACUCCGACGGGAGGCAGCAGUAGGGAAUCUUCCGCAAUGGGCGAAAGCCUGACGGAGCAACGCCGCGUGAGUGAUGAAGGUCUUCGGAUCGUAAAACUCUGUUAUUCGGGAAGAACAAAUGUGUAAGUAACUAUGCACGUCUUGACGGUACCUAAUCAGAAAGCCACGGCUAACUACGUG